rnacentral:lncRNA from 1 species
CCAGCGACAAGACCAUCGGCGGGGGGGACGACUCCUUCAACACCUUCUUCAGCGAGACGGGGGCCGGCAAGCACGUGCCCCGGGCCGUCUUCGUGGACCUGGAGCCCACGGUGAUCGACGAGGUGCGCACGGGGACGUACCGGCAGCUCUUCCACCCCGAGCAGCUGAUCACGGGCAAGGAGGAUGCGGCCAACAACUACGCCCGCGGGCACUACACCAUCGGGAAGGAGAUCAUCGACCUGGUCCUCGACCGCAUCCGCAAGCUGGCUGACCAGUGCACAGGGCUGCAGGGCUUCCUGGUGUUCCACAGCUUCGGGGGUGGCACCGGCUCUGGCUUCACCUCCCUGCUCAUGGAGCGGCUCUCCGUCGAC